GCCGAAAUAGCUCAGUUGGUAGAGCAACUCCAUGGUAAGGAGUAGGUCCGCGGUUCAAGUCCGCGUUUCGGCU
rnacentral:tRNA from 1 species